AAUAAAAGCUCAGUGAACUCGUCGGCCGGCCGAACGUUCGCAGAUAAAUAUUUUCCAAGGACUAGAACAGAGUUAUUUUGGUUCGAAAUUUGCAAUUAGGUAAAAAAUUUAAAGAAAAUCCCCGAAUUGAAUUAGCAUUUUCAAAUUUUUCACGUGUUCUUUCUUCUCUCCCGCCGCUCAAGCAGAUCGCUCUCGCCCGAUCCUCCGCCGCGCCGCUCCGGUCCUCCGCCGCUCCUCGCGAGCUUCAUUCGCCGCCGUCUCUUCUUCUCUCCCCGGUUCCGUCGUCCGCAAGCUUUCAAGCCCUUCUUCGCGAGCUUCAAGUCCUUCAUCCGCCGAGCUUCGCUCCCGUUCGAACGAGGUUAGCGUCGCUCAAAUUGGUGCAGUUCGUCCAAGAGACAGCGAUCGCAGCUUGUCGAAGCAACGCGGCGACACGGUGCGGGCUCGUCGUGGGAACAUCCCGCCGAUGGCAGCGAGGCUCUCUUCCCAAGCUCGAAUGGGCCGCUCCGAUUUCAGUCACGGAGCGUGCGAUUUCCUGGGAAAGACCCCGGAUUCCGCAUUCUCUCUUCUUCGAUGCUCCUCGGUCUAUUCGUGCCGCUGCAGUUCCCGAAAGAACGGAAUUUCCUUUCCCUCCCAAUGCCCCUGCGCCGUAAGAUGGACCCAAGCUGGCGAGGUGGGUUCUUCUCCCUCGGCGUAAAUUUGGGAUUUGUCUCGCACCGGCGUUGCUCCAGCAAAGGCUUUUUUGUUUUUGGCCUCCGACGGGGUUGGAGAGUAUAUCUGUAGGGUGAGCAUAGCACAUAAGCUGAAGCCACUUGCCAUAUGAUCAAUAUGUAGCUUCCCUUUGACCAUGUGAUUUGCUUGUUACUUGCUUUAAGAUCUUGUUUCUCGGAACGCCAAUGUACUUUUCUAAAGAUGGUCAUAAGGAGCCUUCGUCUAUGCCAUUAAAGGGCAAAGCUGGGAAGGCUUGAAAUUAAUAGAGUUAUUGAACUGAGGAAUUAAUGCAGCGAGUGCAUGAAUCGCUUCAAUUCAAGCUUUAAUAAGUUACGAGGUUGUGAAAUAAUUUGUUGUUUUCAGGUAGAGGAGUCAUGUAGUGAGAAAAUCAAGUGAGAAAUUGAUUGCACUUCUCUAUCUUCAAUUCUGCUACUCUCUUAAUCCUUAUUUCCCCUUUCAUGUCCCUAACUGGGGACUCUACAUUGCUGUAAGCUUGUCUUUACGCCUUUAUACAUUCGAUGGGAAUAAUGUCACAUUUUUAAGUACUAACAGUUGGUUCACAAUACGCUAUUCAUUUCUUGUACGAGAGAUGAAUUCUUCAAGGUGUCUUUCAUUGCAAGUGGAAAACAAGAUGCUUCUCGAGGGCCAGCCCCAAAUGAAGAUGGUCGUCUCAAAGGAACCGUGCAUGCAUACUUUGCAUUCAAAGCUUGACCUUCCAAAAUUCUCAUUUGAGUAGAACUUGUGCUUGUGUGCGAAUUUGAAGCUCCACUUUGAAUUAGUCAGGAUUUGAAAAAUGGUCUUUUAUCGCAAUCAUCAUCAAUUUCUAUUUCAGAGAAGUGGAUAAUUAUACAUUGAUAUUCUUCUGAAUUAAUUGAAACUAUCCGGCUGAAAGUUUCAUGAAUUUGACGGGCAAUAAGUACGGAAACUCAAGAUAAAAGGGAUUUUUCUCUCUAUGAUCGAUGAUAGAAGGUCUAACCGUCAGUGCAGAUAGGCCAGAAGUGCAAGAAGGAAAUCGCAAGCAGGAAUAGGAAGUUAUGUGAAUUUAUUUCUGGGCUAAGAACUUAGAUUAACUUGUCAAAAUGAGAUUACACUGAUCCUGUCCACUGCAUGCACAAAACGGAAUGCAUCCACCAAGGACCCAGCCUUGUCAGCUGCGGCAUAUAUGCCAAGAUACGUUGACCUGAGCUGCAGCGGGAAGAUCUCAGCGGGGACCACAAAUGUGGUGGCAUUAGGGCUGAAGUUUGUGAAGAAGGUGAAUGAGUACAUGAUCAUGAACCCGAUUCGAUUGUCUGGCAAGGUCCGUUGCCCAUCAUCAAUUGUACCGCAAACCCUCUGAUCUUGUCGUUGAAUGCCAGCGUGAACCAGUAACUUUACGCAGCUAUUAUUAUACAAAGCUAGAGCUCGAGCAGCUCAUUGCAUUCAACUAAGCCCCAACUACCACAUCUCUAGUACGAGUUCUUCGGCGCCUAGCUGGUGAAGGCCGAGCUUGAGCUCCGGUCCACCCCUCCCACCACUGAGAGAGUUCUGUUGAGCACUCCUGCAUGCCCGAGCCUCCCACAGUCCCAUCCGUUCCAUACAACACAUCUGUCUUCGAUCGUAAAUCAUCUUCACCUCCUUCAUCCUUUUGGUACAUAAGUCGUGUUGAAGGAAUUUCUUGGCAGCUUGCUACUGGAUAUAUCGUGGAGGAAGGACAUGCACGAAGUCUGCAACUUAUGAGCACACUUGCCAGUGCGAUGCCGGUUACACUAUUCUCGUGAAUGUUGGCAUCUUCCCAUGCUUCAGUGAUUCAUGUCUAGCGUUGGAUUCUUUGAAGGCACAAUCGGUAACGACUGUGAAAAGCUCAGAAUAAAAGUUUCCAACUCAUCUACCAUAAGAUUAGACAGCGGAAGUUAAGCGCACAUGUUCCUACCUCGGAAGUCGCUGUGGAUGACCAUCUUCACACCAUCUAUGGCUUUGGUUCUAUGGAACUAGUAAGAGGGCAUCACGAGACUGAGGCUUCAUGUGGAGUUGCACUAAAGACGUAUAUAUUAUACUCAAUUUCCGUUCGUGCAAUGGCUUAUAUUGCACUUUGUUCUUUAUUUGUUGAAGUGACAUUCUUGUGUAAAAUUGUUAUAGAAACAUGUCUAUUGUAUGGUUUGACACUACACUACACUAUAUUACAUGUCUAGAAGAGGCCAGUGCUUUCACUC